GAUGAACGCUGGCGGCGUGCCUAAUACAUGCAAGUCGAGCGAACGGACGAGAAGCUUGCUUCUCUGAUGUUAGCGGCGGACGGGUGAGUAACACGUGGAUAACCUACCUAUAAGACUGGGAUAACUUCGGGAAACCGGAGCUAAUACCGGAUGAUAUUUUGAACCGCAUGGUUCAAAAGUGAAAGACGGUCUUGCUGUCACUUAUAGAUGGAUCCGCGCUGCAUUAGCUAGUUGGUAAGGUAACGGCUUACCAAGGCAACGAUGCAUAGCCGACCUGAGAGGGUGAUCGGCCACACUGGAACUUAGACACGGUCCAGACUCCUACGGGAGGCAGCAGUAGGGAAUCUUCCGCAAUGGGCGAAAGCCUGACGGAGCAACGCCGCGUGAGUGAUGAAGGUCUUCGGAUCGUAAAACUCUGUUAUUAGGGAAGAACAUAUGUGUAAGUAACUGUGCACAUCUUGACGGUACCUAAUCAGAAAGCCACGGCUAACUACGUG
rnacentral:rRNA from 1 species